AGUGAACGCUGGCGGUAGGCCUAACACAUGCAAGUCGAACGGCAGCACAGUAAGAGCUUGCUCUUACGGGUGGCGAGUGGCGGACGAGUGAGGAAUACAUCGGAAUCUACUUUUUCGGGGGGGAUAACGUAGGGAAACUUACGCUAAUACCGCAUACGACCUACGGGUGAAAGCAGGGGAUCUUCGGACCUUGCGCGAUUGAAUGAGCCGAUGUCGGAUUAGCUAGUUGGCGGGGUAAAGGCCCACCAAGGCGACGAUCCGUAGCUGGUCUGAGAGGAUGAUCAGCCACACUGGAACUGAGACACGGUCCAGACUCCUACGGGAGGCAGCAGUGGGGAAUAUUGGACAAUGGGCGCAAGCCUGAUCCAGCCAUACCGCGUGGGUGAAGAAGGCCUUCGGGUUGUAAAGCCCUUUUGUUGGGAAAGAAAAGCAGCAGGUUAAUACCCCGCUGUUCUGACGGUACCCAAAGAAUAAGCACCGGCUAACUUCGUG
rnacentral:rRNA from 1 species